rnacentral:rRNA from 1 species
UACAGAGGGUCUCAAGCGUUGUUCGGAUUCAUUGGGCGUAAAGGGUGUGUAGGUGGCGGCGCUAAGUCGGGGUGUGAAAUCUCCGGGCUUAACUCGGAAAGGUCAACUGAUACUGUGCGACUAGAGUGCGGAAGGGGCAACUGGAAUUCUCGGUGUAAGCGGUGAAAUGCGUAGAUAUCGAGAGGAACACCUGCGGCGAAGGCGGGUUGCUGGGCCGACACGUGACGCUGAU